CGGGGUGUAGCUCAAUUGGCUAGAGCGUUCCGUUGUCUGCGGAAAUGUUGCGGGUACCCUGCGGGAAGCAAGCUACAAAUCCCGUCACCCUGG
rnacentral:tRNA from 2 species